rnacentral:sRNA from 1 species
AGUGUCCCUGGCCGCCUACACCCACUAUACAUCCACAAACCCGUGUGCACUGUCUUGGAGAAAGGCUUCAGAGAAGUUUUUUGUGGCCUCUCUUGGGGUCUUUCUUCGCUACAAACUCGAAUGGUUAGUAUGAACGUGGAACUUGGUUGGACCGUCACUGGCCAACAAACUAUACACAACUUUCGACAACGGAUCUCUUGGUUCUCCCAUCGAUGAAGAACGCAGCGAAACGCGAUAGGUAAUGUGAAUUGCAGAAUUCCGUGAAUCAUCGAAUCUUUGAACGCACCUUGCGGCUCUAUGGCAAUCCGUAGAGCAUGCCUGUUUGAGUGCCAUGAAAUCUCCCACCCCAAGCGGUUUUUAAAUGAAACGGCUUGGCGGAUGGGGUCUGGAUGGGUGCCUCUGCCCUGCGCUACCUAGCACAGGCUCGCCCGAAAUGCAUGAGCGCCUUGAGACACUUUGCAUCCGCUCUCUGUUUGGGAGGA